ACCUGAAUGGGAGUGAAUUAGAGUAAGUUAGCCUUGACUUCUAAGCCACCAAAGCAUGUUAUCUGCACAUUAACAUUA